rnacentral:misc_RNA from 1 species
AAAUGAGAGCACAGACGU